rnacentral:lncRNA from 1 species
CUUACAAGUUCUCUUCAGAAUCCCUGAAGUUCUUAAUUGAUCUCACUGCGUUUAGUAUCUCUCUCUCCUAAGGGUUCGCUGUUGAGAGCACAGAUCUUACCAGAUCCUCAUUCUGCAGCCCAUACCUGCUCUGUUGCCUAUGAAAUCUCUCCAGGAGCUCACCAGGCAGGCCAGGGAGUCUCUCCCUAAAACCUGCGGUGUGGGGGGGGUGCUUUUUGAGGGUAGAGCUCCAUGUAGACGGAACCCGACACGGGACACUUCUGUCUCCUGCCUGUCGUGUGGCUUAGCCGCGUCAAUAUGCUGUCACCUGCUGCAGGUACCUAUUUGUGAUCCUCCUCUGAACUCUCUCUGCUUUCAAAAUGUCCAUUCCAAAGCCAGUUGUGGUGGUGCAUGCCUGUAAUCCCAGUGCUCUGGAGGCUGAGGCAGGAGGAUCUCGAGUUUGAGGCCAGCCUGGGUUACACAGUGAGUUCAAGACUAGCCCAAACUAUAUAGUGAGACCCUGUCUCAAAAAAUCAAAACCAAAGAAAAAGAAACAUCCAUUGCAGUGUCCCUGCCCUUCCUCUGCUUUAGUCACUUGCUUACGUGUCCUUCCCCGUGGCUAGACAGCUCCUUGAGAGCAGAGUGCAUGCCUGGCUGGUCUCUGUGUCGAACAGGGCUCCAGGCCUGGGCCAAGUGAGGCCCCGAGAAGUCUGUGCCAAGCAGGAUUUGUACACUGGGAGUUGGAACCAGGCUGCAGUCAAUCUGGCCCUGAAAUUCAUUUUGGGAAAUACUUACUUUUCUCUCAUUGCUGAGACAAAAUAUACGACCCCCAGAGGUGAAGGAGGAAAUGUUUAUUUGGCUCACAGUUCAUGGAGGUUUCAGUCCAAGGCUUGCUCCAAGGCAGGGUGGCAGAGGGGCAGCAAUUCAUGCAGGAAGGCAGCAAAAGCAACAAGGGACCUUAACAGUGUCUUUCUGUCCCUUUUAUUCAGACUACUUAGGGCGGGUAGCACUCAGUCUUAAUCCUAGUGCCCUCGGGCCUUGCCCCACAGUAAAUCAGUCACACACUCAGCCACUUCCAGAGUAGCCUGUGACCACGUGAGGCUCUGGGGGCUCUAGACACAGCCCUAACACAUGUGCCGGACCUUGCAGUCACACAGAGUCAUAAGGAAAAGGGAAGGAUGAUGUCCUUCUAGAGCAGAUCCCAUCCUGAGUGGCCACUCUCCUGUCCCUGGUGGGGUUUCCCCGUGUCAUGCACUUCGCGAGUAGGGAUGCUUAUCCCCUAGUCAUGUCCAGGUUAAGUCAGAUGUAACUGACGUCUGAGCGUGAGGAACUCUCUCCUAUCUUUAUGAAGACAUGUCCUCCGAGUAGCUUCCCGCGUGGAGGAAGAACAGAGACAGCAGCCUCUGCUGGGGCCCAGUGAGGUGGGUGUGCGAUUUCGCAUCCUUUCCGGAGCCAGAGUGGAGUCCGGCCACACCCUCUUCUUCUAGCCCAGCUGCGGAGGCGGCUGUGGAUGGGCUCCUGCUGCAGGGCACCUCCCUCCUCCUCUCCCUGGCUGCCACAGUGCUUUCUGGCUGUGACCACUCCGCAGUACCCCAUGUUGGGUGAAGUGGAGUUCCCUUAGCUCAUCCCCAGGGCUUUCCCCCUCUAAGCUGGCACUUCUGUGAGCUUGCGUCCCUCUCCCUGGGCCGGGACUUCUGUCCUGUCAGCUCUCCCCAGCACGUGUCUUCCAAGCAGCCCCAGGCCUAUGUGGUCAUGUGUCCCCUGUGCUGCAGCAGGGCCACCGUCCCUGCAGCUCUGGCUGGCACCUGUGAGUGGGCUGUCUUGUCCCCUGCACUCUUCUCCUGCAGGCAGUCCGGGUCCUGGGCAGGAGGACAAGAACGAAGACCACCGCCUGGGCUGAGCGCUGUCUGGACAGUGGCCCCCGUGUGGGAGCCUCAGGGCCCAGUGUACCCAGGAAGCUGCAGCAGGGAACCUUCGGGAUGUGACAUCUCUGGUGGGGCAGCGGCCACCCUGCCUCUCCUAUGGGCCCAAAGGAAAGAGGAGCCCUUCCUGUGCCCACCGUGCCAGGACAGAUCCCUUGUUCUUCUGGGCAUGCAGAGCUGGACAAGGCUGGCUGGGAGGGACCGGCACAGAAGUGGCCUCCACUGUCUUCCCGAGACCCUCGCACCUGUGUACUAGCUUCUGUGUGGCCUGGCCUGGCCUGGCCGGACCCAUUGGCUGGAAAGUUUCUGGUCCCUUCCCCUUCUGAUGUCCUUCCCUUAUCUUGCCUCUCAUCAUUUUUGUCUUUUUCUUUUAAUCUUCCUUGAAUCAUGUCCAUAACUCCGUAAGUCAUGAAGUCCUUUCUUAUGACGAUGUUUACACCCAUAACUUGGGCUGUCCCACCUCGAGGCUGCUCUGUUGCUGAUUAGUCUCCUUGGGCUUUGCUUCUCCAGCCAGCUUGCAUUCCUCUGCCAGCCCAGCUCACUUUCAGCUCUCUUCUGCCAUCUCUGCUUAGGAAUCUGGUGAACCCUCUCCGCUACCAGGUUGGGCUAGUUUCAGGCCCAAGGCCGCCUCUGUGCCUGGUAGUUGGGCUGGACAGCCUUUGUGUGUUCUGUUUCCUGUGGUAACACACGGCCACCACCAGCCUGGCGUCUUUCUGGAUCUUUCUGCCUGCACCACGCAAGCCCUCGAUGGGCCAUGCAUUGCGGCUAGAGAGAGGGAACUGAGUGUGCACACCCGCGUGUGCCAGUGGCCUGAGUGUGCAUUUCCUCUCCCUGGCCGGGUUCCUUGUCCCCUUGUGGCCUAGGUGGCAGGGCUGCUGGAGUCCCUGAGGGUCCCUCCCACGCCUCUGUCUGGUGGACUCCUGCCUGCUGUCCUGGUCUCCGAUCCCUGACCAGCACACUUGUCUCCUCAGCCCGUGCCCCGCAUCCUGGUACAGGCUCCUUUCCCGGACACCCAGGUGGCCAGGACGGAGGAGGCUCAGCGAGGGAGCCCGGGGCCUGGUGGGACCUUGGAG